ACUUUAAAGGACAGAGAGAAAGGAAAAAUCUGAGAUUAUUAAAAUGAAGAAAAAACACUCUAAAAAACUUUUAUGUUCUUUUUACCAACUUCCAACAGAAAAUACACAAUUUCUGUAAGUCCCAUGCCUGUGUACAACCCCAGAAUCAUGGUGAAAGAUAAGGAAAUAGGAGCUUCAACCCCAGUCUAUUUUCACAGCACAGCUUCCCUCAUUCAAGCUGCAGGCAAAUGUGCCCCCCUUACCCUCAAAGUAAAGUAGCUCCUACAACUGCCAAGCAAGGUAGCUGAAUGCAGAGAUA